UUUGGGAGCCAAGUCAUCUCACGCUGACACCCUGAGAUUUUUCUGUUGUAACUGUCUGCCUGGCCUUUGUGGUGAUUGCUAUGAGAAGGUGAUGAGAAAUCAAAGAGAGACUCGGAGCUGGACCGAGGCGGCUGUGGUGAGGGACGUGGCAGGAAUCCUGGAGGAGGAAAAUGAGAACCACUCUCCAUCAAGUCAUUAACCACAGAGCUCUGUCUCCCACCUGGGUUAGCUGAUCUGCUGCAGCUUUACAGAUCUUCCCCAUCUGCCCCCUGCUGCACUAGCCAGGGAACGGCUGCGAAUCCUGGAGACCCCUAAGGACCCCCACCUACAGCUCUGAGAGCCCUCAGUGUCCUUGUCUCCUGGGGGCUCAUGGCUCUCCCCCACCCAUGCCUAGUCUGCAUCCAGCAUCAGAAAACAGAACCUCAUGCAGGUCUGGAGGCAUGGAAAUCAGGAGCUACAUGUCCUCCCCAGGUGGUGCCUGCUCAUCCCAAGGAAACAAGAGAGCAAGAAGGCUCCCUUCUCCCAGAGGGACAUUCUUGCCCCUACCACCAUUUGUCCACACUCCAGCAUCUCAGAAAUGUGAAUUCAGAAGCAAGUUAUGGAGCUUAAGUUACUGCUGCACUUGAUUGGAAUAACUGUUACGUAAAAGCCAACACAGAUGAAUCGCCUGUAGGGAGUUGUCUGACUGCAUGAGUUUUUACACAUCUUUCAGCUAAAUCAAAGAUCCAAAUGCUAAAUCUCACACUCAGGAACAUCAAGUGGAUUUGUGACAGUCCCCGGAGGACUUGGUGUCCAUAAACCAAUGAAUGAAUUACA